rnacentral:rRNA from 1 species
AGCAGCCGCGGUAAUUCCAGCUCCAAUAGCGUAUAUUAAAGUUGUUGCAGUUAAAAAGCUCGUAGUUGAAUUUCGGGAUUAAUAUGUUGGUCGUGCCUUGGUACGUACUGGCAUUAUUGAUUCCUACCUUCUGAAGAACCUCGAUGUCAUUAAUUUGGUGUCUUGGGGAAUCAGGACUGUUACUUUGAAAAAAUUAGAGUGUUUAAAGCAGGCUCGCGCUUGAAUACAUUAGCAUGGAAUAAUGAAAUAGGACGUUUGAUUCUAUUUUGUUGGUUUCUAGGAUCGACGUAAUGAUUAAUAGGGAUAGUUGGGGGCAUUAGUAUUCAAUUGUCAGAGGUGAAAUUCUUGGAUUUAUUGAAGACUAACUACUGCGAAAGCAUUUGCCAAGGAUGUUUUCAUUAAUCAAGAACGAAAGUUAGGGGAUCGAAGACGAUCAGAUACCGUCGUAGUCUUAACCAUAAACUAUGCCGACUAGGGAUCGGAUGAUGUUAAUUUUUAAUGACUCAUUCGGCGCCUUAAC